UACGUAGGGUGCGAGCGUUAAUCGGAAUUACUGGGCGUAAAGCGUGCGCAGGCGGCGCGUUAAGACAGGUGUGAAAGUCCCGAGCUUAACUUGGGAAUUGCGCUUGUGACUGGCGUGCUGGAGUGUGGCAGAGGGAGGUGGAAUUCCACGUGUAGCAGUGAAAUGCGUAGAGAUGUGGAGGAACACCGAUGGCGAAGGCAGCCUCCUGGGCCAGCACUGACGCUCAUGCACGAAAGCGUGGGGAGCAAACAGG
rnacentral:rRNA from 1 species